rnacentral:lncRNA from 1 species
GACUUGCAGAGGGAACCAGCUGAGAAAAGCUAAGGAUGGCAGCAUGCUGGAGAGAGAGAGGAGAAGAUGUGAUUUCUGAGAGCUUUCUUUACUCAGCCAGGAGAUGUGAAGAAGCAAAAUAGCAGCUUUGGAUGCAGAAUACAACUGUAGAUCAAGUCAGCAUAGACCUUAAAAGGGAGAACUUGUGUUGUUUAAGUUUGAAAGCAUCUAUUUCCUGACCAGCUGCCAUUGUUUCACACCAGCCUUGGGAAGACUUGCUAAUUGUCUGUGCAAAUUAAGAAGCCUUGGUCCAGAUGGAAUCAGAUCUCUAAUAUCUGGCUUUUGAACUAUCAUGUGGACUACCAUCAGUGAAAUGUGUUGGCUAGGAAGCCACAGUGAAAGGGCUGCUAACCUGAAGAAAACUUUCAGAAAUGUCCCUAUGCUAAAUCAGGAGGAAGUCAAGACCUCUCAGCUUGUUGUGAGAAAUUGGAGGCAACAGCCUAGUGGAAGAGCUAUCACCUGAGACUGGGAAGAAGAAGAGUUAAAUUGCUUAAGAGUCUGGACUUGGCUAAUGUCACUUGAAUGACAAUAAAGUAAUAAAAAGUGAUAAAGUAAUGCCCUUC